CUUGUCUUUCUGUGGUACCUCCCCAGAAAGUCCUGAGCUUACGUCUAAAAACAAAGCUUCAGGCUAUCCCAGCUCUUCCCAGCUCGCUGUGUGAAAAGCUAACAUGGCCUUGAGCGCGGGCUAGACUUGGCUGGGAAACCUCCUUCUCCUGUCUGGGGUGUGAUUCUAGCCAGCUCAGGAGCCCAGGUGAUCCCCCAUGGUUGGGGACCAAGAAGACGUAGUUUGUGAAUCCAGGUUAAGCAGUCACUGGCUGUACCCACGAAAACUCCAGAAAGUGCCGCCAUCCUUGAGAAAAAUCUGCCUUCAGACUGACCGAGGUGCUGAUCGAUCCUUUCCGCAAAGGAGCUCCGGGAAGUGGGAAACUUUUGCCAGAGGACAGACUGCAGAAGGAUCCAAGAGUCACCUGUGCUCAGGUUUCUGCUGGAAUGAACUUACUCGGUACAAGGUCAGCAAGCUGAGAAAGGCUAUAUCACCAUGAUGGUGGAGGAAGAAGCAGGGAAAAGAAGGAAAAGCAGCAGCAGCAGAAAAGGAGGAGAAAAAAACUAACAUCUACUGAGUGUUUAACUCUGUUAGUGUCUAUACCAAACACUGUACCUGCCUUGCCUUCUUUACAGCUUUGUGAGGAGGCUCAUUCUAGAUGCUGCGACGCGAACAGACCACAGGAAGAAACAGCAGACGGUGAUUGGGUGGCUCCUGUGUAACCCAGAAAUCAUAGACACCGUUUUCCAAUCCUCUGAUUUGGUUCCCUUCUCCAGAACAUGAAGAUUUCUUACGGAGAUUACUUUAUCUUUGCCUUUACAAAAUCAGUUUUGAAGAAUUUCUGGCUCAUCAAGAGAAGCAGCCAUGACAUUGGGGUCAUCCUCCAGACAAAUAUCUCAUCUCGCCUGAUGAAAUCAGGAAGGUGCUUCUGGUGUCCAAGGGAUGAAUGUCUCAUCUCCUGGGAGGGGACUGAAGUCCUCUGCCAGGGGAAACCAGAACAUCUGUUGCAGGCAAGAUCCAGCCUGCUGGCUGAGCGGAGUCUACGGAGGCACUUAGAAUAAAGCCUUGGGUCUUCAUCAGAAGACAUUGCCAUGGUCAUCAAGCCAUUUGCAAUGGAAUCCAGGAUGCGCUCAUAGGGACUAAAUACGCUUAUGAAAAAAUGGUUAUUAGUAUAAUAGUGGGUCCAAAAAGCUCACUGUCUCAGGCACUGACUUUCCUUUUGCUCAUUUGAAAAAAAAAAGAUGGGGCACCUGGGUG